UUACCUAUACGACGUGAUACUAUAUCAAUUACUUUUAAACGUUGUAUCAACCAGUAAGGCAAUGGCCAACGAUGGACGGCAUCAAAAUAUUCACGCCACAAUACCGUCCUACUUAAAGUGGCCUCUAAUAUUUGUAUAAAAAGACAUCCCAAUGUUCAAUUCCAACAUAACACAUUUUUUGUGCAAUAAUAUUCUUUGUUCUUACUUUAAUUCUCAAAAACCAACUAAAAAAUCAAAAAUGGGCGCUUAAAAAGUAUCCAUGAACAUCGUAGUCGUUGGACAAGUCCAAUCUACCAAGGCCGUCAAGACCAUCGCCAAGGCCAGCCCAGCCACAAGCCAAUUGAUGAACUGUUAAUUCAAUUUACGAAGUCACCAUUAUCCCAUGUAUCCCAAACUCAAAAAUGCCAUAGUCUAAACAGUACAUAAUAAUUAUAUGUAAUUUUAUAUUCAUUAUGUGUUGAUACC